UUUGAAGCUAAUAGAUAGCUCUUUGAUCUAUAUGAAGACAUUUCAACCCAAAAAUAUCUGGAUCCCAUCCAAAAACUCUUUGCAAAUCAAUUAAUCUUUUGGGCUUGAAAAACAACAACUUUGGUGAAUUUAAGUUAAUAAAAUUUACUCCAUCCACGCAUUUAUCACAUCCAAAAUUGGGCUUCAAUUUUCAUGAUCUUUUAGGCUUCUAAAAUGGGCCUUGUAAAAAGUUAAGUCUAACAUGUUCUUGGGUUGGAAUUUAGGCCCUAGACUCGUAUCUUACCCCCUCUUUCCUCAAAAGGAUUCAUCCUCAAAUCUUGUGUGUCAUUGAAGAAGGUAUAAACUAGCCGUUAAAUAUAGCAUGUGUUAGGGGACAAACUUGUGGUAGGAUUCAACGUGGCAAGCUCUUCCAAAGGCAUGGUUAGAUGUGAACUUUCCUCAUUAUCAAUGUCUUCUCAGUUGUUAAGGUUACUAUCACAACUUUCUUCUUCAAAAAUAUCAAUAGUAAAGGAAGAAGUCUCAACAAUAGGCAUAGGGUCACACAAACUGUCUUCACAAAUU
rnacentral:lncRNA from 1 species